AUUUGGGGGAAUGUAAGCAUAUAUAAUAGUGUUAUAUGCGUAUCGACUAUGUCGAAUAAAGUUCUAAAUAGAUAAUUGAUAAUGACAAACGUCUAUUUACAUGUCUCGACCAAUUCUUGUGCCAGCAGUCGCGGCAACACAAGUGAGACUAGUGUUAUUCAUCUUUAUUAGGUUUAAAGGGUACCUAGACAGUAAAUUUAGCCCCGAUUAUAUUAGGGUACAGAUAUACUAGAGUUUUAUACGGGAGGUAAAUAUUAGGACUAUUGGUGGAGAGAUAAAAUUUUUUUAUACUAAUGGGAUGUAUAACGGCGAAGGCAACCCUCUAUGUAAAAACUGACGUUAAGGGACGAAGGCUUGGGGAGCAAAUAGGAUUAGAUACCCUAGUAGUCCAGGCAGAAAAUUAUGAGUGUUAUAGAUCAAAUAUAUAAUUGGUGUAUAAAUGAAAGUGUAAGCAUUCCACCUCAAGAGUAAUGUGGCAACGCAGGAACUGAAAUCAU
rnacentral:rRNA from 1 species